rnacentral:rRNA from 1 species
CCUACGGGAGGCAGCAGUGGGGAAUAUUGGGCAAUGGAGGCAACUCUGACCCAGCAACGCCGCGUGAAUGAUGAAGGUCUUCGGAGUGUAAAGCUCUUUUCUAAGGGAAGAAGAAAGUGACGGUACCUUAGGAAUAAGCCUCGGCUAACUACGUGCCAACAGCCGCGGUAAUACGUAGGCGGCAAGCGUUAUGCGGAAUGACUGGGGGUAAAGGGUGCGUAGGUGGUUUGACAAGUUAGUAGCGCAACUCCGGGGCUCAACUUCGGAACGACUACUAAAACUGUUGGACUUGAGAGCAGGAGAGGUAAGCGGAAUGCCUAGUGUAGCGGUGGAAUGCGUAGAUAUUAGGAGGAACACCAGUGGCGAAGGCAGAUUGCUAGACUGUAACUGACGCUGAGGCACGAAAGCGUGGGGAGCAAACAGGAUUAGAUACCCUUGUAGUC